GUGUUCAUUUUGGCAGUACCAUACAGGAAAAUAUGAAUGAUACAGAGAAGAUUAUCAUGGCCCCUAUACAAGGAUG
ensembl:snRNA U6 U6 spliceosomal RNA